CCGGCACGGGAGCUCCCAGCAGCCUGUCAGGCUGCUUUUAGAGCUGAAGAAGCAAAUCCACUGUGUGGCAGCAGUUACAGGCACUUAUUCUGUGAUGAACCUGACACUUGGAUGUGAACCCCCCUCUGCCGGCACACACUUUCUAUGCUGGUUGGAGCACAGAGGCGGUUUGUUAGCAGAGGUGCUGGGGCAGAGGCUACGCAGCCUGCCGGCCGCUGAGCUGGAGAGACUUGCAGGAGCCCUCUGAGGCUGUUGAGUCGCUUUACAGCCUUCCUGUGGGUUGCCCGCUGCAGCCUCCCCUCGCAGCGCCACGCUGUAACACUUGCUGCGGCGAGAGCAGCCGGAGCUCCGACCGCUGCUUGGGUUUUUAUAGGAGUGCAUGUGUCUGCAGGAAGCAGCUGUCCUCGCCGGCCAAGGACGCGGGGAAUGGACUGCAGGAGAGACAAGCUUUACUCUUUCCCUUACUUCUCCACGCUUAGGCACAGCUUUACUCACUGCAGAUGCAGAAGAAACAUUCAGGAGAGGAAACGCACUGGUUCCGUUGUCAAAGCGCUGUGGGACUUUCCUCGCCGGUUGGAAAUACUGAAGCGCAGAUGAAUGAGGACCUCCAUGCAAGCGCGUUUUGGAAAAGCUGCUGUAUCCAAGCUUCUGUCUGCACAUACUGGUCCUGCAGUGAUUGCUGCCAGUAUGAUGAACUGCCAGCCAAAGCUGUUGAGCAGCAAGGAAAGUCCCAGUAUGAAAAACUGGAAGGUUGACCAUGGCGUGGCAACAGUGAACCUGACGCUGGGGGCAGUGCAGGAAUGCACAGUUAGUCACAUGAGAACAGAACACUUUUUCUCUUCAUCCCUUUUAGUUAUAGUAAUCUUUACUGUUACCUCCUUGAACAGCAGACAGGCUCUUGGAUUAAGUCCUGAGGACGUUAUCUGCAGCAGGACCUGA
rnacentral:lncRNA from 1 species